GGGACACGUGGUAUCCUGUCUGAAUAUGGGGGGACCAUCCUCCAAGGCUAAAUACUCCUGACUGACCGAUAGUGAACCAGUACCGUGAGGGAAAGGCGAAAAGAACCCCGGCGAGGGGAGUGAAAAAGAACCUGAAACCGUGUACGUACAAGCAGUGGGAGCCUCUUAAUGGGGUGACUGCGUACCUUUUGUAUAAUGGGUCAGCGACUUAUAUUCUGUAGCAAGGUUAACCGAAUAGGGGAGCCGAAGGGAAACCGAGUCUUAACUGGGCGUUAAGUUGCAGGGUAUAGACCCGAAACCCGGUGAUCUAGCCAUGGGCAGGUUGAAGGUUGGGUAACACUAACUGGAGGACCGAACCGACUAAUGUUGAAAAAUUAGCGGAUGACUUGUGGCUGGGGGUGAAAGGCCAAUCAAACCGGGAGAUAGCUGGUUCUCCCCGAAAGCUAUUUAGGUAGCGCCUCGUGAAUUCAUCUCCGGGGGUAGAGCACUGUUUCGGCAAGGGGGUCAUCCCGACUUACCAACCCGAUGCAAACUGCGAAUACCGGAGAAUGUUAUCACGGGAGACACACGGCGGGUGCUAACGUCCGUCGUGAAGAGGGAAACAACCCAGACCGCCAGCUAAGGUCCCAAAGUCAUGGUUAAGUGGGAAACGAUGUGGGAAGGCCCAGACAGCCAGGAUGUUGGCUUAGAAGCAGCCAUCAUUUAAAGAAAGCGUAAUAGCUCACUGGUCGAGUCGGCCUGCGCGGAAGAUGUAACGGGGCUAAACCAUGCACCGAAGCUGCGGCAGCGACACUAUGUGUUGUUGGGUAGGGGAGCGUUCUGUAAGCCUGUGAAGGUGGCCUGUGAGGGUUGCUGGAGGUAUCAGAAGUGCGAAUGCUGACAUAAGUAACGAUAAAGCGGGUGAAAAGCCCGCUCGCCGGAAGACCAAGGGUUCCUGUCCAACGUUAAUCGGGGCAGGGUGAGUCGACCCCUAAGGCGAGGCCGAAAGGCGUAGUCGAUGGGAAACAGGUUAAUAUUCCUGUACUUGGUGUUACUGCGAAGGGGGGACGGAGAAGGCUAUGUUGGCCGGGCGACGGUUGUCCCGGUUUAAGCGUGUAGGCUGGUUUUCCAGGCAAAUCCGGAAAACCAAGGCUGAGGCGUGAUGACGAGGCACUACGGUGCUGAAGUGACAAAUGCCCUGCUUCCAGGAAAAGCCUCUAAGCAUCAGGUAACAUCAAAUCGUACCCCAAACCGACACAGGUGGUCAGGUAGAGAAUACCAAGGCGCUUGAGAGAACUCGGGUGAAGGAACUAGGCAAAAUGGUGCCGUAACUUCGGGAGAAGGCACGCUGAUAUGUAGGUGAAGCGACUUGCUCGUGGAGCUGAAAUCAGUCGAAGAUACCAGCUGGCUGCAACUGUUUAUUAAAAACACAGCACUGUGCAAACACGAAAGUGGACGUAUACGGUGUGACGCCUGCCCGGUGCCGGAAGGUUAAUUGAUGGGGUUAGCGGUAACGCGAAGCUCUUGAUCGAAGCCCCGGUAAACGGCGGCCGUAACUAUAACGGUCCUAAGGUAGCGAAAUUCCUUGUCGGGUAAGUUCCGACCUGCACGAAUGGCGUAAUG
rnacentral:rRNA from 1 species